rnacentral:rRNA from 1 species
CUACGGGGGGCUGCAGUGAGGAAUAUUGGACAAUGGGGGCAACCCUGAUCCAGCAAUGCCGCGUGAGUGAAGAAGGCCUUCGGGUUGUAAAGCUCUUUCAUCUGUGACGAUAAUGACGGUAACAGAAGAAGAAGCCCCGGCUAACUCCGUGCCAGCAGGCCGCGGUAAUACGGAGGGGGCGAGCGUUGUUCGGAAUUACUGGGCGUAAAGGGCGCGUAGGCGGCCCAUCAAGUUAGGCGUGAAAGCCCCGGGCUCAACCUGGGAAUUGCGCUUAAGACUGGUGAGCUAGAGUACGAGAGAGGAAAAUGGAAUUCCUAGUGUAGAGGUGAAAUUCGUAGAUAUUAGGAAGAACACCAGUGGCGAAGGCGGUUUUCUGGCUCGUAACUGACGCUGAGGCGCGAAAGCGUGGGGAGCAAACAGGAUUAGAUACCCGCGUAGUC